rfam:Fusarium graminearum chromosome 3, complete genome
GCCUUUAUAGCUCAGUGGUAGAGCGUUGCACUUGUAAUGCAAAGGUCCAUCGUUCAAUCCGGUGUGGAGGCA